rnacentral:rRNA from 1 species
UAGGGAAUCUUCGGCAAUGGACGAAAGUCUGACCGAGCAACGCCGCGUGAGUGAAGAAGGUUUUCGGAUCGUAAAACUCUGUUGUUAGAGAAGAACAAGGACGUUAGUAACUGAACGUCCCCUGACGGUAUCUAACCAGAAAGCCACGGCUAACUACGUGCCAGCAGCCGCGGUAAUACGUAGGUGGCAAGCGUUGUCCGGAUUUAUUGGGCGUAAAGCGAGCGCAGGCGGUUUCUUAAGUCUGAUGUGAAAGCCCCCGGCUCAACCGGGGAGGGUCAUUGGAAACUGGGAGACUUGAGUGCAGAAGAUGAGAGUGGAAUUCCAUUUGGUGCUGUGAAAUGCGUAGAUAUAUGGAGGAACACCAGUUGCGAACGUGGCUCCCUGGUCUUUAACUGACGCUGAGGCUCGAAAGCGUGGGGAGCAAACAGG